rnacentral:lncRNA from 1 species
AAGUAAAAAGUGAUAAGCGGGGAGGAAGAACCGAAAAACUUCUGAUUCUCAAUCGGACACGGUGCGAGUGACACGCCCUCAGGGAAGGGUGGAGCCGCGGCNAAAAAAUUUUAUAAGGGAGGAGAAAAAAAAGCAAAAGUGGGGGGAGCCCAGACGGUACCUACUCCCCCUUCCCAUGUUCCCUCCUUACCAGCUGCUGUCGGAUCCACCGCAACAUCCCCUCGACCGGCCGGCCGGCCUGACGGUGGCGGUCAGCUCCCUCACGGCGAGCGAGGUUGACUGAUUUUCAGAGCUGGAGAAAGCUGGUUGUAAAAGAGUUGAGCUGCCCUCCCCACUGCUACANAUGUCAUCCUUUGCAAGUCUACUAGCAGACCUUGUUAAAUUUGUAAGCAGCAUUUGGAAGAAUUCCUUCUGGGCUACAACACCUAUGAUNAUUAACCAAAGCAAAACCUGCUUUGGCAAAGCAUCAUGGAAAAUAAAAUUAUUUCCCAAGAUCUGACUGGUAUGUAUGCCCUGAUCAGUACAUCUAUCUCUGUUUAUAAGAUUGGAAAUACAUUCUCUUUACUUUCUGAAGGGAGCACUAAGAAGAUCA